rnacentral:miRNA from 1 species
UCACCGGGAGCAUUGUAUCGA